UACGUAGGGGGCAAGCGUUGUCCGGAAUUAUUGGGCGUAAAGAGCGUGUAGGCGGUCCGGUAAGUCAGCUGUGAAAGUCAAGGGCUCAACCCUUGAAAGCCGGUUGAUACUGUCGGGCUAGAGUCCGGAAGAGGCGAGUGGAAUUCCCGGUGUAGCGGUGAAAUGCGCAGAUAUCGGGAGGAACGCCAAUGGCGAAGGCAGCUCGCUGGGACGGUACUGACGCUGAGGCGCGAAAGCGUGGGGAGCAAACAGG
rnacentral:rRNA from 1 species